UACAGAGGGUGCAAGCGUUAAUCGGAAUUACUGGGCGUAAAGCGUGCGUAGGCGGUUCGUUAAGUCUGUUGUGAAAGCCCCGGGCUCAACCUGGGAAUGGCAAUGGAUACUGGCGAGCUAGAGUGUGUCAGAGGAUGGUGGAAUUCCCGGUGUAGCGGUGAAAUGCGUAGAGAUCGGGAGGAACAUCAGUGGCGAAGGCGGCCAUCUGGGACGACAGCUGACGCGA
rnacentral:rRNA from 1 species